rnacentral:rRNA from 1 species
UACGGGGGGGCAAGCGUUGUUCGGAAUUACUGGGCGUAAAGGGCUCGUAGGUGGCCAACUAAGUCAGACGUGAAAUCCCUCGGCUUAACCGGGGAACUGCGUCUGAUACUGGAUGGCUUGAGUAUGGGAGAGGGAUGCGGAAUUCCAGGUGUAGCGGUGAAAUGCGUAGAUAUCUGGAGGAACACCGGUGGCGAAGGCGGCAUCCUGGACCAUUACUGACGCUGAGGAGCGAAAGCCAGGGGAGCAAACGGG